rnacentral:lncRNA from 1 species
UUACAAGAAUAGCCUAAUUACAUAAGUAGCCUAUUAGGCUCAGAUAUGACUCCCUUAUUGACCCUUAACGGUCUAAAGUGGGUUUAUCAUCAUCGCAGAUAUGCCUCCCUUAUUGACCCUUAACGGUCUAAAGUGGGUUUAUCAUCAUCGCUUAUAUAUGUCUCAACACCCUCCCUCAAGUUGAAGGGGGGAAACCACCAUCAACUUGGACAAAA